rnacentral:rRNA from 1 species
AUUGAACGCUGGCGGCAGGCCUAACACAUGCAAGUCGGGAGAGCGGCGGACGGGUGAGUAAUGUAUGGGGACUGACUGAUGGAGGGGGAUAACUACUGGAAAAGGUAGCUAAUACCGCAUACCAUCCGAUAACCCAUAUGGGAUUAGCUGGGAGGUAAGGUAACGGCUUACAUAGGCGACGAUACCGAGCUGUGCUGAGAGGAUGAUCAGCCACUCUGUGACUGAGUCGCGGCCCAGACUCCUAAGGAGGCAGCAGUGGGGAGUUUUGCACAAGUGGCUCGAGCCUGAUGCAGCCAUGCCGAGUGUAUGAAGAGGGCCGUCGGGUUGUAAAGUACUUUCAGUCGGGAGGCGUUACCGACAGAAGAAGCAACGGCUAACUCCGUGCCAGCAGCCGCGGUAAUAC